UACGAAGGGGGCUAGCGUUGUUCGGAAUUACUGGGCGUAAAGCGCACGUAGGCGGAUCGAUCAGUCAGGGGUGAAAUCCCAGGGCUCAACCCUGGAACUGCCUUUGAUACUGUCGAUCUGGAGUAUGGAAGAGGUGAGUGGAAUUCCGAGCGUAGAGGUGAAAUUCGUAGAUAUUCGGAGGAACACCAGUGGCGAAGGCGGCUCACUGGUCCAUUACUGACGCUGAGGUGCGAAAGCGUGGGGAGCAAACAGG
rnacentral:rRNA from 1 species